ACAUGCAAGUCGAGGGGCAGCAUGGUCUUAGCUUGCUAAGGCCGAUGGCGACCGGCGCACGGGUGCGUAACGCGUAUCCAACUUGCCCUUGUCCCGGGGACAACCGGUGGAAACGCCGACUAAUCCCCGAUGGGACGGAGGCCCUCAUGGGUCUCUGUUGAAAGUUACGGCGGCGACGGAUUGGCUCGCGUCCGAUUAGCUAGUUGGCGGGGUAACGGCCCACCAAGGCUACGAUCGGUAGGGGUUCUGAGAGGAAGGUCCCCACAAUGGAACUGAGACACGGUCCAUACUCC
rnacentral:rRNA from 1 species